rnacentral:lncRNA from 1 species
UCAGCCAGGCACAUCCGGUCCACAGUCAGGAGGCUGAGAGAUGAACAGAGGUUGUAUUCAAUUGGCACCCCAGCCUAGGGAAUGGUGCCACCCACAUGGAGGGUGGGUCUUCCCACCUCAAUCAGUCUACAUAAUUUCUUACAACCUUCCCAAAGAUUCGUCCCCAUGGUGAUCAAGUUGACAGGAUGAACCAUCACAGCAGCUGACGUUGAUUGCCCUGGAUUAGAUGACUAACCAGCGAGGCCGUCAGGACUGCUGAGCAACCAGAUUGUGAGAGCCUUCUCCAGCAAGGCUGGCCAUGCAACCUGAGGAGAGUCAGGGCGUGCGCACUGCAGGAUCCCGCUUCUGUAUCCUUUGUGAAGUGUCCUUUCUCCCAGUCAUGAGCACAGUGAGUUCCUGGCCGUGGGGUGCUCUGUGGGCCUACUGUGUGCUUUUCACCAUUGUGGAGUGGCUGCGGUUUUGUUCCCGUGGAGAUGUAGCCAACGGGACCCAUCCCCCCAUCUUGGUUUUCGGAGGCUUCACUCACUGUUGGCAUGGCUCUCUAAACAGUACUUAAAUUUUGCUUUCAGUUCAGAAACUUAUGUGGUGAAGAUCACAGCCAAUCUUCUGUUAACCAGCGCUCUACUUACAUGCAGUACCUGAAGCAACCAGAAGAGGGCAUCGGAUCACCAGAGAACUGAAAUCAGUCGUUGAAACGGAGCAGGGUUGAAGGUCCCUCCCUCAUAGCCUCAGACUCCAACUGUUUCGUCUGCUGCCACUCAUCUUAAGGGGAAAUGUUGUAAUUGCUUCUCCUUAGAUGGCCUUGCCAUGUCAAGGGAGGACACAUCACUGUUGCCCUCUGCCGAGACACAGCAGGGUCCUGUUCUAAGUUCCUCCAUGUGGGGUGAAACAGCAGCUAUUGGGGGAGUAUUUUGCCCUGGGUGACUCCAUUUACACAACAAGCAUCAUUUAGUUCCAUUUUGAUCAAGAAUACAGAGACAGGAGACCGUAUCAAUGUGCAUGCAGACACCACCCUGUCCAGCACCAGCCAGGAGACACAGACAGAUAAUAACUUGUUCCCAAAAAUUAAAAACAUACUUACAGGUCAAUGUGUGAAUGUUUAAACCCAAAUGAGAAACUGACCAAACACACCAAAAUAACAGAGGCCAUGGCAUUUUCUUCUGGGCUCCAUAAGAAGAAUACCUAAUACUGAAAUAUCAGUGGUCCCGCAAACCUGUUCUCCAGCUACCUAGCGUGUGCGUGUCAAAGGACCAAUAGACAGGGAGUGCCCAACCAUCUCAGGGGCUUUGGCUCAGCACGAGGAGUGGCUCCCCGAUGUCUGAUAAGGCCCAAUCCGACAACCAUCUGUACACCCAUCCAUCUAUCCCUUUAUCCACCAGCCUGAACCUCACUUGCAUGCCUCUGCAGUUAGGAUGAACACCACCCUGUGGUUGUGUCAGACCCAGCAACUUGGGACUGCCAGGUCAUCUCUGCCUCUCUCCCAACAGUUCUUUGGGAACUGUUGCAUGCCUGUUAUCCUCCUGCAGCGACGUGGCACCUCUGUCAGCUGUCCUCCUCUGCCUCCAGUAAGGCCUCUUUACACUCUGACUGCUGGUGCCUCUUUAGCCCUGUUCAUAGCCAUUCUGUAACAUAUAUGUACAUGUAGCAUGUAUUGUGUAUAGAGAGCACACAUGCAAUGUAUCUAUUAAUGCAUACAUGCACAUAAUACACAUAUUCACCUGUGUAGCAUGUACUGUGAGUUCUGAGUUAGGACUAACAACUAGGAUGGUAAUGAAAGAAGCUGUGGUUACCAACAGCCGUGCUUUCUAGGGAAAUUGGAACUACUCGGUCAACUGCAGUCAGUGAAACAGACAGGACCUGUGGAUCUGUAGCCAUUCAAUAAACUCAGGCAUUAUGGAAGACACAGGUCUGUCCGUCUACGUUUCUGGUAGACCACGCUCAUGACAGCGACUCUGAAAUUUAAAUUAAAAAUUCUAUGUGAAAGGGCAGCUCCCGAUUACAGACUGGACACGAGGGAAGAAAAUGGAGGUAGUCGGGCUUUGCUGAGAAUGAUUAAAGGAAGAACAUACCAUUCUAUUAA